rnacentral:rRNA from 1 species
AUUGAACGCUGGCGGCAGGCUUAACACAUGCAAGUCGAGCGGGGUGAUGGUGCUUGCACUAUCACUUAGCGGCGGACGGGUGAGUAAUGCUUAGGAAUCUGCCUAUUAGUGGGGGACAACAUCUCGAAAGGGAUGCUAAUACCGCAUACGUCCUACGGGAGAAAGCAGGGGAUCACUUGUGACCUUGCGCUAAUAGAUGAGCCUAAGUCGGAUUAGCUCGUUGGUGGGGUAAAGGCCUACCAAGGCGACGAUCUGUAGCGGGUCUGAGAGGAUGAGCCGCCACACGGGGACUGAGACACGGCCAAGACUCCUACGGGAGGCAGCAGUGGGGAAGAUUGGACAAUGGGGGGAACCCUGAUCCAGCCAUGCCGCGUGUGUGAAGAAGGCCUUAUGGUUGUAAAGCACUUUAAGCGAGGAGGAGGCUCUUUUGGUUAAUACCCAAGAUGAGUGGACGUUACUCGCAGAAUAAGCACCGGCUAACUCUGUGCCAGCCGCCGCAGUAA